rnacentral:rRNA from 1 species
UACGGAGGAUGCGAGCGUUAUCCGGAUUUAUUGGGUUUAAAGGGUGCGCAGGCGGAGCGUUAAGUCAGCGGUAAAAAUGCGGGGCUCAACCCCGUACGGCCGUUGAAACUGACGCCCUUGAGUGAGCGAGAAGUAUGCGGAAUGCGUGGUGUAGCGGUGAAAUGCAUAGAUAUCACGCAGAACUCCGAUUGCGAAGGCAGCAUACCGGCGCUCAACUGACGCUCAGGCACGAAAGCGUGGGUAUCAAA